UGGUGCCACAUUAUCACCCUGCAGCCCAGGACUGGUUGCCCACUGAAGCUAAGCAAGGUUGAGCUGGUCAGUACCUGGAUGGGAGACCUCCUGGGAAAACUAGGUUGCUGCUGGAA
rnacentral:rRNA from 1 species